UACGUAGGGUCCAAGUGUUAUCCGGAAUCACUGGGCGUAAAGCGUGCGUAGGUGGCGUGUUAAGUGUGAUGUUAAAUCGUGGGGCUCAACCCUGUCGCUGCAUCACAUACUGGCACACUAGAGGACGGCAGAGGCAAGUGGAAUUUGUAGUGUAGCAGUGAAAUGCGUAGAGAUUACAAGGAACACCAAAUGGCGAAGGCAGCUUGCUGGGCCAAUCCGUGACACUGAGGUACGAAAGCGUGGGGAGCGAACAGG
rnacentral:rRNA from 1 species